rfam:Stegodyphus mimosarum contig55867, whole genome shotgun sequence.
GCUUUCGUGGUGUAGUGGUCAAGACGCUCGGCGCGUAACCGAGAAGUCCGUGGUUCGAUUCCCGCCGAAGGUG